CGUUGAGCACUCUAACCUUGGGUAUUGAAUUACGGUAUACAUAUAAACGGUUUAUAUUUAACGCGAAUUGAAUCGGGUAAACAACUGUUAUUUCAAGUGUCAUAAAUUUUAAUUCUUCUCAGUAUUCAGGUAAACAUCAAAAUUUUUUCUCUGGACCAGGAAGCAGGAAAAGCAAAUGGUCAAGGAUUUCAGGACGAAAUGCAACAGAAUUGCCAGGAGAUAAAUCAUUGAAAGAGGAGCAGUCAGUCAAGUAAACAGACACAUGCUGUUGAGAUAAGUGAAAUGUAACUUGCAGUUCCACGUGUUUAUGUCAAAUGACAAAUUAAUAUGAAACUAAUUAAAAGGAAAUCGAAUUGAGACAUCAAUAUUCGAAUUAAAAUUACCGAGAAGAUACGACGUUUUGCAACUAUGUCAGAGUUCAACGGCAUAAGUACCCUGAUUCUGAUUAUCUUCCUGAUAUUUAGUGUUUGUGCUGUGUUUUGUUACUUGCGAACCUUGAGGAGGCGCCAUAUGCAACAAAAUGCACAAAGGCGUUCGGGUUCCCAUUCAAUGGUUUACUCUGUCACAAUGCAGGAAGGAAACAGUGGUUCAUUCUACAAUUCAGUCACAGAAUAUCUAAGAAACACAGCUGGCCAGAGUUCUUCCACAAGUAACGAGCAUUUUGAAAAUGGCAAAGUGAUAACUCCUGUAGGUUUGCCGUCAUAUGAUGACGUCAUAUCUGGAAAGUUUGAUGGAAAUAUAGAACGUCCACCACCAUAUUCAGAGACACAAACAAGUAAUCUGGACAGUGAAAGAGGAUCAUCGGUUGCUUCAUGAAUAAAUUCUUUUAUUAACACAGGCCAGUGUGAUAAUCAGAAAUCGCAGUGAAUGUUUUCAUAUUCAAUAGUGAUAAUCCGAGUUCAUUGUGAAUAGUUGUUAUAUCAAUCAUAUACUGCUGUGAUAUGCGAACCUGUAAGGACAAGAACUUUUUAAAUUAAAUCAUGGUGAGGUUUAACUAGUAAGGUCACGUGCCUUCUACAACAUCGCAAUCAAUGUCAUAACGGUCAUAAUGGUUAUAAGUCAUAUUAAUUUCAGUGAAUUCUUGUACAUGUUUAAAGGCAUAUUAACCGUUUUUAUAUGUUUGUCCCAAAAGAAACAUAUUUUUAAUACGCCGAAAUUGAACAUAAUAAGCUUAACCGAAACGAAAAUAUACACUUAUUGAACUCCUAGUCAAGUAAAAACCAAAGACCAACUUUCUGGAGAGAGAGGGUCUUAGACGAUUUCGAAAACGCAUAGAUUCGCUUUCGGUUCGAUGUGUUAAUAUAGAGAUAGCGCAUGUUUUUUCUUGUCAUAACAUCUGCAGAAUCCCGAGGGAUUCACACGAAAUUGCGCUAACGCUAUUCUAGCAUAAAACGCAAAAAAACAACAACAACAAAAAACUAAAAAAUGAAUACAUUACCUCUCAACGUCAUUAAAUUUCCAUGAAAUACGCGGGAAUAUUGGAGCUUUUUUUCACGUUUCCUUUGGAAUAAUACAUUUUGGGACCGUGAUACAUUUACCUGAGCGCGAGAAUCACAUUUUCUGCCCCACAAAGUGACAGCAACUUCAGUUUUAUGCUAGAAUACAUCGAAAUGCAUGAAAACAAUAGUAAUGAUUAAUAGUAAAUAAUAGUAAACUUUGCAAAUAAUGUCAGAAAAUCAAAAUAAAGGCUCUCUAUAUAUUUGCCAUUUUAUAUACCUUAUAUAUAAAUAGUAACAAAAUUGUACAGGACAGAGUCUUAUUACUGGUAUUAAUAAACAAAAGUAAGAUCCGCAAAUUUCACAAUCGUCUUGACGGGUCGAUAUUAUGACUGGCUUUUUUCGGAAACAAGGAAAAAGUCGAAACUUUGAAAUGUAGUAGAGUCAGCCUUUGUCAUGUUGAGAACUAAGUUACUUAAUGUCAAUUUCAAGGUCGACUACACGUAGGUUUAAAAUCUGGUAUUCGUAAUGCGUUUUUGAUUCAUUUGCCUUUCAAAAGUCAAAACCAACGUUCCUGUAACAAAUUGUAUUUCUCUGGGGAUGGUGCAGGAAGUUCUUUACUUUAUAGUUUCUGUUAUUUGUUCAUUUCCUUGACUUUUACAUGUUCAAAAUUGCCAUAGCAAGCGAUUUUUCAGUUUUAGUUUAGGUUUCAAUUUUAUUUUUUGCACGUUCAGAAGUAUAUUAGCCACAUUUAAACUUCUGGCAAAUCCUGAAAUAGCACUAGCGAUUCUGGUCCAGAUGACUUGCAAAAAGUCUCAACAUGAUUCUAGUAAAUACCAAUUUUAAUGCAUGAAAAGUAACUGUACAGCUUCCUACAGAAGUAAGUGGUUUUCUUUCCAGGAGUAUCAGAAAAUAAAAAUAAAUGUCAAUCUAUUGAACAAACAAAUAGACUUGCCCAUGUUGAAUUAUAAUUCGUUCUUACGAAAAUACAGUUCUUGGUUUCUUGACUGCCAUUUUUAUGCAAUUUCCUUUAUAAAUAAGGACUUUAACUACUUCAAGUACAUAACAAAGUUGUGAAUUCUGUUCUGAGAAAAAGACGAAAAUGUAAUAUUUGAUCUUUAUCUGUAGGCUUUUCAUUCACCAGUGAAUCAGACUGCUUCAUUCUCCAAUUCCAUGUAUCAGUAGUCGACAGUUUGAACAUUGUUUAUUUUAUUUAAACAUAAUCAGGCAUUUUGACAAAGACAGCCAGUCAGAAUUCAUUAUAUUUACCUGUUGAAAAUCACCCAUAUAAUUCCGGUUACACCAAAGCAACAAAACUUCCAUUAAAGCUCCCUUUAGAGCAUUGGAUGACCACAUAGUUUUUCAGAUUCAGAAAGCAAAGCUUAGGUGAUGUGACUUAAAGUAUAGUCUGUCUGUUUUUUUCUCUCAGAAAGGUGUUAUUUUAAACAUUUGUCAAAUGUUUACUGUUUAUCCUUAAAAUUCAUCAAAUAUAGUUUUUAUCAUGUUAACCUUUAAAAAUAUUUUUUGCAUUUGAUAGAGGACGGUAUGAUGAAUUUAUAUAAAAUAAAAACAAAAAAUAUCCAAAAAUGCAAGUACACACUUAAGUGUAUCCUUAAGAAUCGCUUAGUUAAUAGUGUAUGUAUGUAUGUAUAAAUGAUAUUACAUAUACUAUUAACAUAUUAACAUACACACUAAAGGUAAUAAUUGCAGCAUAUUUUUCAUACGUGUAUCAACGUCUUUAUCCCUGCAUCAGAAAUAUAAUGCAAAAUAACUCUUUUUAUUACACACAGGGCCUUUUUAUUAUAUCAAACAUUUGUUCAGUUUCAAACAAACUGAAAGAUUCAUCACCAUUAUAUUUUUACUGCUUUUCAGGUCAGUAUAACCUGUAAGAAUUUCAAUGAGAUGAUAUAUGUUUGUAGUUGUUAUAUUACAAUAUCUGGACACUUGAUACUGAGAAAUUGAGUGUUUUGUAUUUUUGUGUCUAAAAUUACGUAAUUAACUGCUUGAAUUACUUCAAGCAUGAACAAAAUGAAUCUUUAAAGUAUUGGUGUAGGUUCUAUCUUGAUAUAUUCAGCUAAAUUGCAAACACAUUUGUCCACAAAGGUUAAUAUUUGAAGGUUCUGUGUAGGAAACAACGAAAAUUAUCAUUCAUCAGUCAUAUUCAGUUUUAAGUAACAUUGAGUAUAGGACAUUGUAAUAGUCAUUGACGAACAUGUUUUUCUUGGACGAUAGGAGCUAUUGUGUUCCUAUUGCAUGAUCGAUGAUCGUCUGAAUACUUGGUUUAGCUGUACCUCAGCACUCUCAUCUAGUAGAGGUUGGCUAUGAAUUCAAACUAUCUAGACCAACUGAGGGACCAUGUGAGAAUGUAUAGGUCUAUAUUCUAGCAGAUGUAAAAGUUUUUAUUCCAUACCUAAUAUUUUUAUUUCGUAACAAAACUAUGAAAAUUGUUACAUAUCAUGUGUUUUCAAUUUAAACUGUUUUAAUGUCUGCAAACUUCUUUUUUUAUGCUUAUAAGGCACGCAACAACACAAAAGAUCACUUUAUAUGAAUAAUGUAUCUGGAUAAGUGAAUCCUUUAGAAUAUAUACCGGACAGUAUAAGCCUUUUUACAAUACUGUUGACAUUUGUUAAAACGAACUAUUUUGCAUUUUAAAAGUUAUACCAUGCCAUGUAUCAUUUGAGAAUGCACAUGUAUUGUUUGUUGUUGAUGCUCGUGUUUAGAAACACUUAAUUAAAAAAUACUAAUCUUCCGAUCAAAAGAGUUCAUUGGAAUUACCAAAGCAAAGAUAAUGUUCAAUGGUCAGUGUCCGUAUAUGAGUAUUUUCAGUAGAUACUAUAGAGGAGGAUAGGCUGACAUGCUUAAUCCUAAUCCAAAUAAUAGCACAUUUCGGGACAGCGUGAUAACUUAUGACCGUCACUGUCCCGUCACUUCCUAACUUAUUCUGCAUAUUUCUGUUAGGAAAUCCCCAAAAUAAUACGUUGGGAACGUUUUCUGGUACAUGGACAAUGUAUUUGUAAUGAUCACAUCUUUGAUAUGAAUUUAUGUUGACAUUAAAACAUAAAAUUGC